rnacentral:rRNA from 1 species
GAUGAACGCUGGCGGCGUGCCUAAUACAUGCAAGUAGAACGCUGAAGGAGGAGCUUGCUCUUCUGGAUGAGUUGCGAACGGGUGAGUAACGCGUAGGUAACCUGCCUGGUAGCGGGGGAUAACUAUUGGAAACGAUAGCUAAUACCGCAUGACAACAGUUAUUGCAUGAUAACUGUUUAAAAGGGGCAACUGCUCCACUACCAGAUGGACCUGCGUUGUAUUAGCUAGUUGGUGAGGUAACGGCUCACCAAGGCGACGAUACAUAGCCGACCUGAGAGGGGGAUCAGCCACACUUGGACUGAGACACGGCCCAGACUCCUACGGGAGGCAGCAGUAGGGGAUCGUCGGCAAUGGGCGGAAGGCUGACCGAACAACGCCGCGGGAGUGAAGAAGGUUUUCGGAUCGUAAAGCUCUGUUGUAAGAGAAGAACGAGUUUGAGAGUGGAAAGUUCACACUGUGACGGUAUCUUACCAGAAAGCGACGGCUAACUACGUG